rnacentral:rRNA from 16 species
UGCGGCCAUAUCUACCAGAAAGCACCGUUUCCCGUCCGAUCAACUGUAGUUAAGCUGGUAAGAGCCUGACCGAGUAGUGUAGUGGGUGACC